GACGAACGCUGGCGGCGUGCUUAACACAUGCAAGUCGAACGGAAAGGCCCUGCUUUUGUGGGGUGCUCGAGUUGCGAACGGGUGAGUAACCCGUGAGUAACCUGCCCUUGACUUUGGGAUAUCUUCAGGAAACUGGGGCUACUCCCUGCUAGGAGCUCCUGCUGCAUGGUGGGGGUUGGAAAGUUUCGGCGGUUGGGGAUGGACUCGCGGCUUAUCAGCUUGUUGGUGGGGUAGUGGCUUACCAAGGCUUUGACGGGUAGCCGGCCUGGGAGGGGGACCGGCCACAUUGGGACGGAGAUACGACCCAGACUCCAACAGGAGGCAGCGGUGGGGAAGAUUGCACAAUGGGCGGAAGCCUGAUGCAGCAACGCCGCGUGCGGGAAGACGGCCUUCGGGUUGGAAACCGCAGUCGCCUGAGACGAAGCGGUAGUGACGGUAAUGGGUAAAUAAGCACCGGCUAACUACGUG
rnacentral:rRNA from 1 species